UUUACACUCAUACAGUCGUCUGCAACUAUCAGUGUUGUUCGUUUUGUUUAUAAAUACGUAUAGAAUAUUAUCUAUAAGGUAACUAUGGCAGUAAAAAUUGUACUUAACAUCCGUCGAGAUUUUCUUCGUGAAUUAGGUGAGGAUAUUGAACAAGAAAAUGUUUAUACUAUAGACUUGACUCAACCUAGAAAUAAUAAUUUAACUUCUCCAAAUACUACACAUGUCAUACCCGUCGGUAACUUUAGUAGAACGUUAAGGCCAGAACGAACAGAAGAUUCAAUCCAAUUAGGCGGGCCUACAGAGGGACAAGAACUAAAUUUGAGAAGAAAUAGAAGACGACCAAGAGGAAAAUCCAGAGACAGAUCACGAAGCCGGUCUAGGGAAACAUCUCGAGGAAAAUCCAGGGGAAGGUCACGUGAACACUCUCGAGGAAAAUCGCGAGGUCGCUCUCGAGGAAAAUCGCGAGGUCACUCUCGAGGAAGAUCGCGAGGUCACUCUCGAGGAAAAUCGCGAGGUCACUCUCGAGGAAAAUCGCGAGAUCACUCUCGUGGAAAAUCGCGAGGUCAUUCUCGAGGAAGAUCCAGGGGAAGAUCACGAGGUCGCUCUCGUGAAAAUUCCAAACAGAAAUCACGAGAUCGGUCUCGUUAACUUAACAGAAAGAGCCCGUGAUCACUUUGGAGGAACGACUUCAGACUACGACCGACUAAAUAUCGAAUUGGAAGAUAUACAUGAAUAGAGCAUGAAAAAAAAUUUAAAAAAAAAUUAACUUACUUUAAUUUUAGUGUUUGCUUAAAAUAUAAUGAUAUAAAAGUGUACUUUACAAUUGCGACGUACAUCCAUUACUUCGAUCCAAGAAACUCAAUAGUCCAAAGGAACAGACAUGAAUUACAAUUAGCAGAUUUGAGGGAAGUUAUAGAAGAAUCAUUGUAUAAGAAAUGGUUAAUGAAGGCUACAAGACGAUGGCUUCAAAGAGGCGAAAUACCGUAUCCUGGAUACUGUAGGUCACCGGGGAGCGAAGUAUGCCUACCGGUUUUGUGCAACUGUGCAAAGUUGACUGAAAUAUGGAAAACAUACAAAAAAAUUAAAACUUAGCUAAGUAAUUAAUUAUUAUUUCUUUAUUUCAUUUACUUUUUGUAUAAGAUUAUAAAUAAAAAUAUACACUUUA